CCGCCCGUCACACCAUGAGAGUUGGUUUUACCAGAAGUCGCUGCGCUGACUUCGGAAGCAGGCGCCCAAGGUAUGAUCGAUGAUUGGGGUG
rnacentral:rRNA from 1 species